UACGAGGGGGGCGAGCGUUGUUCGGAAUUAUUGGGCGUAAAGGGCGCGUAGGCGGUUUGAUAAGUCUUGUGUGAAAUCUUCGGGCUCAACUCGAAGUCUGCACGAGAAACUAUCUGGCUUGAGUGUGGGAGAGGUGAGUGGAAUUCCGAGUGUAGAGGUGAAAUUCGUAGAUAUUCGGAAGAACACCAGUGGCGAAGGCGACUCACUGGACAUGUGUUGACGCUGAGGUGCGAAAGCGUGGGGAGCAAACAGG
rnacentral:rRNA from 1 species